CCACAAUGGAUGACCACUUUCAACUAAUUCUGAAUUUGGAAAUAUAAAUAAUCAUUUACUGGCGGCAUUAUCAUAGCUACCACACAGAAAAUUAAAGGGAAUAAGUGACUCCAGUGCACACACAGAGUCAAGAAAUGAAAAGCAUCAUCUAUUUCUCCCAAAGUCGCAAGAUUCUAAGUAUCACCAGCUGUGCGGACCAAAUGUUCAAAUGUAGGAGCCCAUGGAAGACUCAUUUAAACCACAACAGCUGGCUCUGAAGAAGAAGAAAAAAAAAAACUAAACUAGAAGUGGACACAUGUUCAACAAAACAUCAGUUAAAAAGAUCAACCACCUAGUGCAAAAGUAACAGACAUCAUGGUCAAGGCAACUCAUAGAAGACAGAGUUUACUUUGUGCAUAUCAUUUCAGCAUCAUCGAAUCCAUGACCUACUGUUCUAUCAGGAGCAUAGAUGGCAUCAGGAAGGCAGACAUGGAGCUGGAACAGUACCUAUGAGUUCACAUCUUGAGAACAUGGCAGAGACAAAUAACUUUUGGAAAAAUUCAAAGUCAGAGGAGGUCGUUAGAUCCUUUGGAACUCGAGUUAUGGAUGGUUGUGAGCUACCAAGGGAGUACUUGGAAUCAAAACCCGGUCCUCUGCAAGAGCAGAAUGUGCUCCUGACUUCUGAGACAUCUCUCCAAUCCAUCAGGGUCCUCCUGAUACACAGGCUGAAACCAAUAGGCCCAAGGAGCCAUGAAUUGAAAACAUGAGUCGCCCCACAAAUGGAUCAUUUGACCUCAAAGGGGUCACAGCUCACAUACUGAGAACCAGCACUUUAAGGCUUUCUUGAAGUCUUCUAAACAAUACUAGUUUCCAGAACAACCUGAAGUGCAAACAUAUUAAAGGUCUUUUGUUAAAUUUUCUAUCAAUAUUCAUGAGUGUUUCAGGCUUUUUUUCUCUUUCUCACUGUGAUGAAUUGGCGAGAAUGACUGACUCUUCCAAAUCUCAUCACAUGUUGGACAUGGAACUUCUGGCUGCAAUUUAAGAGACAUUUCUAUAACAACUCAAAGGAAAAUGCUGAGCAGUGUCGUCCUUCAUCAUCCUUCGUCAUCCUUCGUCAUCCUUCGUCAUCCUUCGUCGUCCUUCGUCGUCCUUCAUCGUCCUUCGUCGUCCUUCGUCGUCCUUCGUCAUCCUUCGCCGUCCUUCGUCAUCCUUCCUCAUCCUUCGUCAUCCUUUGUCAUCCUUCGUCAUCCUUCGUCCUCAGCCUUUCAUCACAUCCUUGAGCCCAAGUCCAGCUACUCUCAUUUCUCU
rnacentral:lncRNA from 1 species